rnacentral:rRNA from 1 species
UAGGGAAUUUUCGGCAAUGGGCGAAAGCCUGACCGAGCAACGCCGCGUGAAGGAAGAAGUCAUUCGUGAUGUAAACUUCUGUUAUGAAGGAAGAACGGCAGAUGGAGGGAAUGCCAUGUGCGUGACGGUACUUCAUGAGGAAGCCACGGCUAACUACGUGCCAGCAGCCGCGGUAAUACGUAGGUGGCGAGCGUUAUCCGGAAUCAUUGGGCGUAAAGAGGGAGCAGGCGGCAGUGCAGGUCUGCGGUGAAAGACCGGAGCUAAACUUCGGUAAGCCGUGGAAACCGCACAGCUAGAGAGCAUCAGAGGAUCGCGGAAUUCCAUGUGUAGCGGUGAAAUGCGUAGAUAUAUGGAGGAACACCAGUGGCGAAGGCGGCGGUCUGGGGUGCAGCUGACGCUCAGUCCCGAAAGCGUGGGGAGCAAAUA